UACGAAGGGGGCUAGCGUUGCUCGGAAUCACUGGGCGUAAAGGGUGCGUAGGCGGGUCUUUUAAGUCAGGGGUGAAAUCCUGGAGCUCAACUCCAGAACUGCCUUUGAUACUGAAGAUCUUGAGUUCGGGAGAGGUGAGCGGAACUGCGAGUGUAGAGGUGAAAUUCGUAGAUAUUCGCAAGAACACCAGUGGCGAAGGCGGCUCACUGGCCCGAUACUGACGCUGAGGCACGAAAGCGUGGGGAGCAAACAGG
rnacentral:rRNA from 1 species